rnacentral:lncRNA from 1 species
AAAAAAGCCUUGAAACCUGGCACUGACUUGCCCUCCUUACAGCUGAAAGUCCUUUCAGGCAUCUGUUUCCAGAAUAGGGAGGUUUCAUUCGUAUCGAAUAUUUGCUCUGACAAGUAAUUUUCCUCCACAACCAGCUUAUGUAGAGUUUCCAAAAAUUCUUCAGCUGCCGUCACAUCAGCCUCGCAGACUCACCACUCACUUUCACAUGAUGUAAUGAGCAAUGAAUUGUUGUUGUUCUUGAAUUGUUUAAGCCACCCAGAGCCGCAGUAAAUUCAACAUCGUAGCAGGGUCCAGUCUUUUCUUUCAACAUCACAAACUUUUUGCCCUGGCCGUGAUCGUCAUAGCACUGAGAGGGGUACACUUCUGUGUCUGGUCUUCAAUCCAGGUCAUCAGAAGUUUCUCCAUGUCUUAUAUAGACCUUUCUCUAAUUUUUUUUUACAUUUUAUGUAUUUAUUUUUAAUUCCUUUUUUAUUGUGGUAAUAGUGGUUUAUAACAUAAAUUUCAGGUGUACAUCAUUAUCUAUGUCGAUUUCUGUGUAGAUUACAACAUGUUCAACACCCAAAGACUAAUUACAAUCCAUCCCCACACACAUGUGCCUAACAACCGCUUUCGCCCUCCUCCCUCCCCUCUUCCCCUCUGGUAAUCACCAAUCUAAUCUGUGUUUCCACGUGUUCAAAUUUUUGUUAUUCUCGUUGCCUUCAAUAAAGCAGAUCCUUUAACAACUUUCGUCACUUUGUUCUUGUUCUUUAAGAUUGUAACUAUGGUGGAAUGGGACAUGCCUGACUGGCGAGCAAUAACCAUCACAGAUUUUCCACCUUGUAGUCCUUAAUCACUUUUUUCCCCCAGGGGAAGAUUUGCCCUAAAGCUAACAUCUGUUACCAAUCUUCCUCCUUUCUCUUCCUUUUUCCCCCUAAAGCCCCAGUACAUAGUUGUGUAUAGUUGUAAAUUCUUUAGCUCCUCUAUGUGAGCUGCCACCACUGCAUGGCUACUAACAGAAGAGUGGUCUGGUUCUAUGCCCGGGAACCAAACCCAGGGAACUGAACCCAGGCCACUGAAGUAGAGUGCACUGAUCUUUAACUGCUAGGCCAUCAGGGCUGGCUCCUUAAUCACUUUUAAUUUCAUUUGCAGGUCAAUCACUCCACGUGGGCUCCUACUGGCAACAUUAGCAGUGGAUUUUGUACACUUAGGGGCCAUGCUGAACAAAACAACGUGAGGUUAAAUCAAGCACAAGAGAAAUGAUGCAAUCAAGAGACGUGGGAAAGAUGAGACGUGACGCUGCUACCAGCGUAACACGGCAUCCUGCUUCACAGAGAACUUUUUUAUAAGUAGAAAGAGUACGUUCUAAAAUAACGAUGAAAAGGAUAGUAUAUUAAAUACACAAACCAGUAACAUAGUUAUUUAUUAUUAUCAAAUAUUAUGUACUGUACAUGACUGUAUGUGCUACACUUUUAUACGACUGCCAGCACGGUAGGUUUGUGUACACCAGCAUUGCCACAAACACGUGAGUAAUGUGUUGCCCUAGGAUGUUAAGAUGGCUACGAUGUCACUAGGCGAUAGGAACUUUUCAGCUCCACUAUAAUCUUGCGGGACCACUGUCAUACACGCGGUCUGCUGUUGACUGAAACAUUGUUAUAUGGCGCGUAACUGUAAUAGCAAUAUAAAGGAAUGAACCAUUGAUAAAUGCACCAUGGACAAAUCUCAGAAUCAUGCUGAAUGAAAGAAGCCAUAGAAAAAAUAGCACGUACUAUAUGAUUCCAUUGAUAUAAAAUCCUAGAAAAUGUAGACUAUUUUAUGGAGACAGAAAGCAGAUCAGUGCUUGCCUGAGAACAGGGCUCUGGUAGAAUCACAAAGUGCCACAAGGUAACCUUUGUGGAGGAUAAAAUCUUCAUUAUCUUAGUUGUGAUAAUGAUGUCACAGGUGUAUAUACACGUAAAAAUUGAUUCAAUUGUGUUUGUUUUUUUUUUUGAGGAAGACUAGCCCUGAGCUAACUACUGCCAAUCCUCCUCUUUUUUUGCUGAGGAAGACUGGUCCUGAGCUAACAUCCAUGCCCAUCUUCCUCUGCUUUAUACGUGGGACGCCUACCACAGCAUGGCUUUUGCCAAGCAGUGCCAUGUCCGCACCUGGGAUCUGGACCGGCAAACCCCGGGCCACCGAGAAGCAGAACAUGCAAACUUAACUACUGCACCACCAGGGUGGCCCCCUUGAUUGUGCAUUUUAAAUACAUGCAGCUAAAUGUAUUUUGAUUACACUUCAAUAAAGUUGGAGGGAUAAACUACAUAAAGAAACAAACAAGAACAGAGCUGGGUAAAAAUGUUGGAUUGAAGAAACACAUUUACUUCUGCUCCUUCCUAAAAUCCCACUUCAACAACAGCAAAGGAAACAAAAUUUAAGGCAAACCCCACACAAUCAAAGAGAAAGGAGAGGAACAACAGGAAAAAUGUUUUGGAGACUCGAAAGCAGUGCACCAAAUGGUAAAUGGUUUAGGGGAAACAAAAAAUUGAAUUCUUAACCAGCAGUGGGGACAAGAGCCAAUCCAAUUUACAAAACAAAAUCUUCAAAAGGCUCAGGAUACGUGAGGCACCAAGUGGAUUAAAGAGAGGGGCUAGAAUCAGAACCAGUUGAAAGUCUGUGUGAUACACAGUCAGCCCACCCUACAGUGAAGUUCAUAGCCAGCCGCAAACACGUACACGCUCAGAGCCCCCAGUCCGAGUUUCUUCAUAUCUUCUGCCUUCGCCAAAAUUCUAAAGGAAAAGUAUUUUCAACUAGUUUUUCUCUACUUGGCUGAAUUAUCCAACGUGUGAGGAUCUGAAAAAUUUUACCUCCCGUGUACCCUUUCUCCUUUGACAAUCGAAGAGGAAAUAAACCAAGCCGGAGGAAGAAUGCGGUACGGAGAACACGGGAUGGACAUGCAAGGAAUCGCAGGCGGAAGGAGCAGGGAGCUCUCAGGCGCCAGGUGGGCACCCAGUGCAGCACCAUCUGCCCAGACCUCCUCAGGGAGGAGAAACUGUUAAUACCUGAUGUGGCUGAAGAUCAAGAGAUCACAACCGACACAGAGGGUGGGGUUAAAUUUGUGACAAGAACAUGGAAAAUGAAGCAAACAAAAAACCAAGUACUCACUUUGGGAAAAUAAAAAGGUGUUCAAGAAAGAAGUAGUCGUGGUGUCUUAUCUUGUCCCCGAAAAAUAUUUCCAAGCUCCUAACAACAUAAAUGCUAAAUAAUGCUGUAACUGAAAUUCGAUAUAACCACUUUGGGAGGAUGAGAGGAUGGGAAGAGCAGAGGAGGGGGAAGGAAGAGAAGAAUUUUCAGAUAAUGCCUAAGAUGAAAAGUCAAGGUGUGGUAAUACGAGC